rnacentral:rRNA from 1 species
CGCGUAGGUGGCGGGAUAAGCGUGCGGUGAAAGCUCGGGGCUCAACCCCGAGUCGGCCGUGCGAACUAUUCUGCUUGAGCACUGUAGAGGCAGGCGGAAUUCCGGGUGUAGCGGUGGAAUGCGUAGAGAUCCGGAAGAACACCGGUGGCGAAGGCGGCCUGCUGGGCAGUAGCUGACACUGAGGCGCGACAGCGUGGGGAGCAAACA